rnacentral:rRNA from 1 species
CCUACGGGAGGCAGCAGUGAGGAAUAUUGGUCAAUGGGCGCUAGCCUGAACCAGCCAAGUAGCGUGAAGGAUGACUGCCCUAUGGGUUGUAAACUUCUUUUAUAUGGGAAUAAAGUGCAGUAUGUAUACUGCUUUGCAUGUACCUUAUGAAUAAGGAUCGGCUAACUCCGUGCCAGCAGCCGCGGUAAUACGGAGGAUCCGAGCGUUAUCCGGAUUUAUUGGGUUUAAAGGGCGCGUAGGCGGGUUGUUAAGUCAGUUGUGAAAGUUUGCGGCUCAACCGUAAAAUUGCAGUUGAUACUGGCAUCCUUGAGUACAGUAGAGGUAGGCGGAAUUCGUGGUGUAGCGGUGAAAUGCUUAGAUAUCACGAAGAACGCCGAUGGCGAAGGCAGCCUGCUGGACUGUAACUGACGCUGAUGCUCGAAAGUGUGGGUAGCAAACAGGAUUAGAUACCCCUGUAGUC